CGUAUAAAUGCAUCGGUAAUGAACAAAAUUUUGGAGAUGUGACUUUGUAUUUCAUUGUCUUACUGACCAAUCAGCCCAUGAGCAAUGCCGAAUUCAGCUUAGGCACGAUCAUAUAUGUGUGGGUCAUGUAGUUUACUUAAUAUCUACUUCACUCACUUGUCAGCUUUUGCUGUUAGCUGUGGUAGCCUGUUUCCUUGACCCAUAGCAGGAAAUAAAGCAGUCGGUGUGAUGACAGCAGGGCAGACCUUUACAAUCGAACCCAUGAUCAAUGCAGGAGUUUGGCGUGACCGGUUAUAGCUUGAUGGAUGGAUGGUUGUUUCUGAAGUUGGCAAGUGUAGUGCUCAGUUCGAGCACACUCUCCUGGUAAUGAUUGUGGAAAUCAGUCCUCUACUUGUCAAUGAUCUGUAUUUUCUGGAAGUAUUAUGUACAUGAUUGUUGUGGCCACAACAUUUCUUCGGUGGUCUCUGCCAAAACUUCCUGAGGUUAUCUUACUUGAAGACCUUUUCGUGAGCAUCGCUUUGUCAUUGAGACAAGAAAUGAACAAUGCUUUUAUCAUUGGGACUUCGGAAAAUAUCUGAUGGUGAUUGUGGGCUUGUGGGUUGUUUCUAUAAUUGGUAGUUGGUUCAAUUUCUUGACUCUCUUCUACAUAGGGAUGCAAUGGACUUUUUCAAAUAAGGACUCGAAGAUGGAGCAGGCACGAGAGAUUGUUGGGAAGCUAAAGGAGAGGUUUCCUAGAACUGCCCAGAUGUGGAAGGAUGUGGAAGAUGGUUGGCCUCAAAAGGGAAGACGAUUUAGUUUGCUUGGUUGAGGUGAGACUGAGGAAUUGAAUAACCAUUGUAAUUUUUCUCAUCUCUUCUUGAUUAAGCUGAAUGUCGGCAUUUACAUCAA